UCUCCGUAGGUGAACCCGCGGAGGGAUCAUUACAGAGUUCGUGCCCUCACGGGUAGAUCUCCCACCCUGUGUUAUUAUACCUUUGUUGCUUUGGCGGGCCGCCCUCGGCUACCGGCCCCGGCUGGUACGCGCCCGCCAGAGGACCCCAAACUCUGAAUGUUAGUGUCGUCUGAGUACUGUACAAUAGUUAAAACUUUCAACAACGGAUCUCUUGGUUCUG
rnacentral:misc_RNA from 1 species